rnacentral:rRNA from 1 species
CCUACGGGAUGCAGCAGUGGGGAAUAUUGCGCAAUGGGCGAAAGCCUGACGCAGCGACGCCGCGUGAGGGAUGAAGGUCUUCGGAUCGUAAACCUCUGUCAGCAGGGAAGAACGGUCACUGUGCUAAUCAGCAGUGAAUUGACGGUCCCUUCAAAGGAAGCACCGGCUAACUCCGUGCCAGCAGCCGCGGUAAUACGGAGGGUGCGAGCGUUAAUCGGAAUUACUGGGCGUAAAGCGCUCGUAGGCGGUAUGUCAAGUCAAGGGUGAAAUCCCCGCGCUCAACGUGGGAACUGCCUUUGAAACUGGCAAACUGGAGUGUGUGAGAGGAUAGUGGAAUUCCAGGGGUAGGAGUGAAAGCCGUAGAUAUCUGGAGGAUCAUCAGUGGCGAAGGCGACUAUCUGGCACAUAACUGACGCUGAGGAGCGAAAGCGUGGGUAGCAAACAGGAUUAGAUACCCUUGUAGUC